rnacentral:tRNA from 1 species
GGCCUGCUAGCUCAGUCGGUUAGAGCGUCGUGCUAAUAACGCGAAGGUCGCAGGUUCGAUCCCUGCGCAGGCCA